UCCUGACAGUCGCAUUGGGCGGCUGACACUAGCCACGACAGGAGAUACUUAAAUG
rnacentral:ncRNA from 1 species